GUAGUCCACGCCCUAAACGAUGCGAACUGGACGUUGGGCUCAACUUGGAGCUCAGUGUCGAAGCUAACGCGUUAAGUUCGCCGCCUGGGGAGUACGGUCGCAAGACUGAAACUCAAAGGAAUUGACGGGGGCCCGCACAAGCGGUGGAGUAUGUGGUUUAAUUCGAUGCAACGCGCAGAACCUUACCUGGCCUUGACAUCCACGGAACCUUGCAGAGAUGCGGGGGUGCCUUCGGGAACCGUGAGACAGGUGCUGCAUGGCUGUCGUCAGCUCGUGUCGUGAGAUGUUGGGUUAAGUCCCGCAACGAGCGCAACCCUUGUCCUUAGUUGCCAGCACGUAAAGGUGGGAAC
rnacentral:rRNA from 1 species